AGAAGUUUAGGAUAUAACUAGUCCAAGAGCCUUCAAAGCUCUAAGAAAAUUUACCAAAUUUAACUUCUGC
rnacentral:tRNA from 1 species